GGGGGCGCACUGGUUUCGACGGGGAUGUGGAAGCCGGAGUUGCAGGUCGAGGCGCCGCUGGCCUCGUAAAAAGCGGCAACAAAGUAAUUGCCAACAACGAUUACGAAUACGCCUGCGCUGCCUAGUCAGCAGGGCUCCUGACCGCAUAGGCGGUCACGUCAGACGGAUUGAUGCCUGAUAGGUUCGGCUGGCGACACAUCAUCAGGCUGGCGAUGCCCGGUGCCUGCCGGGGGUUAUUGCGAGGAUUGCACCGGCGGGCUGGUGCUGCCGCGCCCGGUCAGGGGCUACCGGCGGCACGAGAACCAUCUCUGACCUACACCUGUAGACGCUUCGCGUGGAAUGUUCUCGGACGGGGGUUCGACUCCCCCCGCCUCCACCA
rnacentral:tmRNA from 2 species